AGUGGAAUAGCUGGGUCGAAUGGUUGUUCCAUUCCAAGUUUUUAAAGGAAUCUCCAUGUUACUUUCUAGAUUGGUUGCACCAAUUUGCAGUCCCACCAGCAAU
rnacentral:pre_miRNA from 1 species